rnacentral:rRNA from 1 species
GCUAAAAACUUAGCCUUANCCCUACAAUUAUAUUUACCCUAUUUUACUUACACAAAAUAAAACAUUCUUUAAGCUUAGUAAAGGAGAUAAAAAAGUUUUUUAGAGCUAUAAAAUAAGUACCGCAAGGGAAAAAUGAAAUAAAAAUGAAACAAAAUUCAAGCAUAAUAUAGUAGAGUUUUCCCCUCGUACCUUUUGCAUCAUGAUUCAACUAGUUUAACCACGCAAAAAGAAUUUAAGUUUGACUUCCCGAAACUAAGUGAGCUACUUCAGGGCAGCUAAAUGAGCCAACCCGUCUCUGUUGCAAAAGAGUGGGAUGACCCUUAAGUAGAGGUGAUAAACCUAACGAACUUAGUGAUAGCUGGUUAUUCAGAAAAAGAAUUUUAGUUCAACUUAAAAUUACAUAAAUAAAAUAAAAUAAAAUCUUAAUUUUAAAGCAAUUCAAAUAAGGUACAGCCUAUUUGAAACAGAAUACAAUCUAAACUAUAGGGUAAAUAUAAAAAAUUAAUGUAAUAAAGUAGGCCUAAAAGCAGCCAACUUUAAAAUAGCGUCAAAGCUUACUUCCAUAAUUUUUUAAUACUAUUAUUUACAAUGAACCCUUUAUUUUUACUGAAUAUUUCUAUAAAGUUAUAGAACCUUUUAUGUUGAAACUAGUAACAAGAAGUUAAACUUCUCCUCAAUAUAAGUAUAAGUCGACUAGGAUAAACCAUCGACAAUUAACGCUUAAAUUAAAUGUAUUAACUCCACAAGAAAAACUUACAUUACCCCACGUUAAUCUUACACCAGAACAUUUAAGGAAAGAUUNAAAAAA